AAGACUAUACUUUCAGGGAUCAUUUCUAUAGUUCUUGACUGUCGAAAUGUGCUCUAAAGUGUACAAACUCACCAAUCACGAUGAAGAGUCAUAGUGGUUAUUCCUGAGCGCGAAGUGAGUUAGUAGCGCUGCUUUAUUGUAGUGCUUCUAGCUGUUGAUGACCGUUCCUCUUCUCUCUUGUAGAGAAGCUGGGGGGAAUGACCACGAGCUGAGUGAU